UACGUAGGGGGCUAGCGUUGUCCGGAUUUAUUGGGCGUAAAGAGCGUGUAGGCGGCCAGGUAGGUCUGCUGUGAAAACUCGAGGCUCAACCUCGAGACGCCGAUGGAAACCAUCUGACUAGAGUCCGGAAGAGGAGAGUGGAAUUCCUGGUGUAGCGGUGAAAUGCGCAGAUAUCAGGAGGAACACCCGUGGCGAAGGCGGCUCUCUGGGACGGUACUGACGCUGAGACGCGAAAGCGUGGGGAGCGAACAGG
rnacentral:rRNA from 1 species